CACCUUUGUAAGAAAGGUUCCUAAAAUUAUCAAUGGACUUCAGUGGAAGUAUCUCAAAAUUAUUGUGUAUAUAAUAUAAUUGCAAACAAAAUAAUAAUUUAGUUAUGUAUAGUCUUCUUCCUUGGUGAUCAGGAUGUUUGAGUAGGUGAGAAAUGACAGAGAUGGAUCACAAUGAAAAAGAUUUCUUUCAAAAAGAGUGCCCUGUGCUUAACUUUUACUUUUAUUGUGGGCAAGAAAGGGAAGCAGGCACUGUGCAAUUUUUAUGAGAACUGAGUUCUGUUCUCUGAUCUGUUUUGGCAAAAAAUAGCAGUCCAUAUGCUUUUCCCUCUUGCAAAUGGAACAUGGGAAUGAAGUUUGGCAGGAGCUGAUAUUCUGACAUCCAAGGGGAAGGUCUUGGGAGAUAGCAUGCUUAAGGAAAUUCAGCUUUGUGUGUGGGCCUAGUCCCCAAAUGUGAGCAAACCAGAUUCAUCUGCCCUGCACAGGGCAGCAGAGAAGCUGGCUGGUGUGUGCAGGAUGCUGCUCAGGUGACCUGUUCUCUGGAGACGGAAGCAAACUGUUCCUUCUGGCUCCCACUGGGAACAGAAAUCAGGACUUUGGCCUUGGGAGGAGGGCAGAUCAGAAAGAAGAAAGGAACGGGGCUCAUCCAUUAGUUGCACAGCUUACCUCACCAGAGAGAAAUUCAGAGUAGAUAUCAGCAGAGGAGGGAGCUGCCAGAAGAGGGAUCCCGUAAGAUGUUACCUCAUUCUGAAGAAGUAACUGAGACCCAAGGGAAGGAGCAAUUAGUCCAAAGGUGUUCAGAGUGCAGCAAAACCUGUUUGGUCAGCAGAGUCCCCUCCAGUCCGACCUGGCCCUCCUGCACUGGCGGCUCACAGAGUGAAUCCACAGCUACCCCUCCAGAAAUCUAAGCUCAUAAACAUGGGGGGAAAUUCCAACCUCCUAAAACUGGCAAUCAACUUCAAAGAUGGGAGUUGAGGAUGGAGCCCCUAUCCCAGGAAUGUUCCAGAAGAUUGAAGGUCGAGAGGCUGAGGGUUAAACCUGUGGAUACAAUGAUUCAGGUUUUGUUAUUCCAAGCAGUCCUCCACCUUGAGGGGAGAAUGGAGCCAGGACAGAAGUGUGGGCUCAGCUGUCAUCUUUGGCCUUGAGCACAUUCUGUCAUCAGAUACUAAAUACUUGGAUCCUUUACCUGGAACAUCUAUUCCAGAUACCAGAAUUAGUUAAAACAUUAAAAUUAACUUUUUUCAUUGAAGUUAAAUACAGACAAUUAGAAACUACAUGCAUGGAAACAUAAGAAAAUAUUAAAAUCUUUCAUAAAUGAACUACUGAAGGUCAGAGAAACCUGAUGUUGUUUCACUGGGUAGAGGGAGAGACACCUUCAGAUAAGUAUCAGCUGCACAACAGAAAGUUUCAAAAAAAGUUUGUCAGGAACCCCAGUCAGCAGUUAUAUCUGCACUCCUGAUGUUGGGUCUGUACUAUUUGGAGUCUGGGUCUUGGCAGAUGGACUGUUUGCCACGUGUCCACUUUCCUGGCUCCUGUUUUCCAACAGCCUUUGCUAACUAACUUGGAUCAAGUUAUUAGCAGCUCUGACUCCUCUGCACUGGAUACUUUCCACAGAUAGGUGUUCUGAUCCACAUGGUUUUCUGGUUAUCAUCCUAAGGACACUGGAGAGAAGAGAAAAGAGGUCCUUCCUUUCUAGCUCUGGAUGGUAUCCCUCUGCCCACCCGAAGCAGGCUUGGCUCUGCCUUGGAGCUGCUGGCACCAAUUCUUCA